GCCCACACAAAUAUCACACGAUCCGGCUGUAGAGAAAAAAAAAGAGAGCUGCCGAUCCCCUUUUCAGAAGGAUGGCUUCGUCGUUGUUCCUCAGGUCCGCCGCAGGCCGCGUUCUUCGGCGAUCGAUCUCGCAGGGCUCCUUCCCUCGGAACCCUGUCCGGUUCUUCUACGAUGGUGUUGGGAGGAUCGAAUCCAAGGGCCCCAAGACCAGCCUCGACGUGUCAUUAGAACAGUUUUUUUGACCUGGGUCAUUAGAACAGUUAAGAGAAAAAAUAAUUGAGGUGCAGAAAGAAACCCGCAGCUUGGUAGAACACGAAAAACUUUUGGAGAAACGGGAGCAACGGCAAAGAGUAUUAUCGUAUUUCUUAGUUCCCACUGCCGCCGCUGCCUGGAUAUUUGGUCCAGACAAGAAGAAGGAAACCAACGAAGCUAAUCAUCCAUGUUGUGUUUGUGCUAGUACUUCUGUGCAGAGCUGAACUUGAUUUGUGGUGUAAGGGUGCAAAUUGAUCAACCAUCAACUUCUCCAUGCAGCAACAGACAGGGACGAAGCUAGAAAUUUGAUCUGAUGGUGUCAGCUCUAUGUUCAGUGGUGCCAGCUUCACAUAUAAAUAGUGAUUAGUGUAGAUUUAUUGAGAGAUUUGUAAAAAUCAUUGGUGUUAGCUGACACCAGUUCCAACUUCCAAUGAAGCAGCUCCGUCCCUGACAACAGAUACUCUGUCUUGCCUUCUCCAUGCAAGAACAGAUCCUCUCUCUUGCCUCUUGACAAUUAAACUGGAGAUGACUGGAGCAAGUCGAGGAUGUAGAAUCUCUGAUCCCUCUCACUCCCAACAUGUCAAAUGACCAUCAUUCAUUUGGAGCAUUAUGAUAUGUCCUAUGUUUCACUCAA